GAGGAAUAAGCAUCGGCUAACUCCGUGCCAGCAGCCGCGGUAAUACGGGGGAUGCAAGCGUUAUCCGGAAUCAUUGGGCGUAAAGCGCCUGUAGGUUGUUUACUAAGUCUGUUGUUAAAGACUAGGGCUUAACCCUAGAAAAGCAAUGGAAACUUGUAGACUAGAGUAUGGCAGGGGUAGAGGGAAUUUCUAGUGUAGCGGUGAAAUGCGUAGAUAUUAGAAAGAACACCAGUGGCGAAAGCGCUCUACUGGACCAUUACUGACACUCAGAGGCGAAAGCUAGGGUAGCAAAAGGGAUUAGAUACCCCUGUAGUCCUAGCCGUAAACGAUGGAUACUAGAUGUUGUGCAUAGUACAGUAUCGUAGCUAACGCGUUAAGUAUCCCGCCUGGGGAGUACGCUCGCAAGGGUGAAACUCAAAGGAAUUGACGGGGGCCCGCACAAGCGGUGGAGCAUGUGGUUUAAUUCGAUGCAACGCGAAGAACCUUACCAGGGCUUGACAUACUACAGAUUCUCUUGAGAAAGAGAAGUGCCUUCGGGAAUGUAGAUACAGGUGGUGCAUGGCUGUCGUCAGCUCGUGUCGUGAGAUGUUGGGUUAAGUCCCGCAACGAGCGCAACCCUUAUUUUUAGUUACCAAUUCGUUGGGUUUUUUAGAAAGACUGCCGGUGACAAACCGGAGGAAGGUGAGGAUGACGUCAAGUCAGCAUGCCCCUUAUGUCCUGGGCUACACACGUGCUACAAUGGUUAAGACAAAGAGUCGCAAGCUCGUGAGAGUUAGCUAAUCUACUAAACUUAGCCUAAGUUCAGAUUGUAGGCUGCAACUCGCCUAGCAUGAAG
rnacentral:rRNA from 1 species